rnacentral:rRNA from 1 species
UAGGUCGACCCGCUGAAUUUAAGCAUAUCACUAAGCGGAGGAAAAGAAACUAACCAGGAUUCCCCUAGUAACGGCGAGUGAAGAGGGAAAAGCCCAGCACCGAAGCCUGUGGCAAUUUUGCUGCUAGGCAAUGUGGUGUUUAGGUCGGCUCGUGGGAUCGCCACUCCACUCGAAGUCCAGCAUUGAGUAUGGUUCCCAGGAAUUGGCCCAUAGAGGGUGAAAGGCCCGUACGAGUGGAUGUGUCAGAUAUGUAAGGCGAUUCACCAGGCCGGCCUUAGAGUCGGGUUGUUUGCGAAUGCAGCCCAAAGUGGGUGGUAAACUCCAUCCAAGGCUAAAUACUAGCACGAGUCCGAUAGCGAACAAGUACCGUGAGGGAAAGUUGAAAAGUACUUUGAAGAGAGAGUAAACAGUACGUGAAACCGCAUAGAGGUAAACGGGUGGCGUCAAGCUGCAAGCCCAGAGAAUUCAGUCGGUCAGGGUGUUGUCAUGCGCCCAGCGCAUCUAUCAGUCGGUGUAGGAUUUGGCUAGUCCGCUUGAAGAUGGCGGGCCCAGCUAGCAAUAGCUGGGAUUUGCGUACCGGGCGGUAGCCGGAGCAUGCUAGCCGUCUGUAGGACUGCCUGGCCGAUGCACUUUCUCUGUUGGUGAACACCACGACCGGUGGUACUGCCAGUCUGCUGUAGCCAGCUUCGUUGCAUACUCUGGCCUUUUGGUUGGGGCGUGUGGCGAUCACAGACAAUUUCAGUGCACGGUGCUUGUGUGUUUUUCGCAUGCGGGCAUGUUAUCGGGAACUGGUUGUAAACGGGUCGGCCUGUCGACUUGUCUGUAGUCGUGGUUGAUGGGUGACCCGGUGGGCUAUGGUGGUAUGAAUAACUGUGCCGGGCACCGGAGUUUUCGGUCCGACCAGCAGUAGUCGUUCGCGGCUGCUGUUGCCGGCUGCAUACGCACUGCAGUUUAGCGUGUGCACUGUCUUUGGCAGUAGUACGGGCGGCGCUGUUUACGGCCUGCCAGUCGUUGGGUCUGAUUGUCGUGUCGCCUGCCAAAAUGGUGGGUCCGGCGGUGGCCUGGCGUUGGAUGGUGCCUGUAGACGGAGCUGUCGUUGUGCAGCCGGUAUUUGUGUGCGCGACCUUAUAGUCUGUGGUGUAGUGGUAGACGAGCUACCCGACCCGUCUUGAAACACGGACCAAGGAGUUUAACAUGCGCGCGAGUCAUUGGGUCCUACGAAACCCAGAGGCGCAGUGAAAGUAAAGCUUCGACAUAUAUUGUUCUCGGGGUGUGGUGAGAUCCUGCUGUUUCUCGCAUACAUUUGUCCAGCACUGGGCUAACUAAACGAGCAGUGGGCGCAUCACCGGCCCGUCCCAUGAUGUGGCUAUCUGUCAGUGGCAGUUGUCGCCUUACGGUGGUGGUUGCUUUCUGCGGGUACGUCAUCGGGGCGGAGCAUGAGCGCGCAUGUUGAGACCCGAAAGAUGGUGAACUAUGCUUGCGUAGGUUGAAGCCAGAGGAAACUCUGGUGGAGGACCGCAGCGAUUCUGACGUGCAAAUCGAUCGUCAAACGUGAGUAUAGGGGCGAAAGACUAAUCGAACCAUCUAGUAGCUGGUUCCCUCCGAAGUUUCCCU